GCUCGGAUGGUCUAGUGGUAUGAUUCUCGCUUAGGGUCACUCCCUAAGUUCAAAUUGCGAGAGGUCCCCGGUUCAAAUCCGGGUUCGAGCC
rnacentral:tRNA from 1 species